GUACACGCUGUGACUAGCAUAUCAAUAAGCGGAGGAAAAGAAACUAACAAGGAUUCCCCUAGUAACGGCGAGUGAAGCGGGAAGAGCUCAAAUUUGAAAUCUUAAAGGGUUUCCCUUUACGAAUUGUAGUUUAAAGAAGUGUUUUCUGUUGAGGUUUUGGUAAAAGUUCUUUGGAAUAGGACAUCAUAGAGGGUGAGAAUCCCGUAUUUGACCUUUACUUUCAACUUUGUGAUACACUUUCAAAGAGUCGGAUUGUUUGGGAAUGCAGUCCAAAAUGGGUGGUAAAUUUCAUCUAAAGCUAAAUAUUGGCGAGAGACCGAUAGCGAACAAGUACCGUGAGGGAAAGAUGAAAAGAACUUUGAAAAGAGAGUUAAACAGUACGUGAAAUUGUCAAAAGGGAAGCGUUUGACACCAGUGUUGUUUUUCUGAAAAUCAAUUAAAGAACUGUUUAUGCUAAGCUGUUUAGACUUUAUCAGCUAACUGUUUAGUUUUGAGCUUUUCUUUAAUGCACUUUUCAGUUAACAAGUCAACAUCAAUUUCUUUUGCUGUAAAAAAGCUUGAGGAAGGUGGCUUGAGAUUCGUCUUAAGUGUUUAUAGCCUCUUGCCUAUGCAGUCGGAGAGAUUGAGGUCUGCAGCGUAGAUCCUUCGGGGCUAAAUGCAUUUGUGCUAAGUUAUAGCAUUUUAUAGACAACUUGUUGACUAUGAUUUGUCUUGUAGCUUACUCGCUUAUGUUAUUUUACCUACGCUUAGGAUGUUGACGCGCGUGUGUGCGUG
rnacentral:rRNA from 1 species